UGUAGCUCCUCUGUGUGGGGAACAUGACAGCAGGACCAAAGCUCAGAGGACCCAUCAGAGACCAGGACCUGGACCUGAUCCUCAACCUGGUCCGGUGUCUGGACCUGCACCCAGCUGUGUGUCCAUGAAGAGUAACUGGUCUAUGGAUGCUCCUGUAGUCUUCAAAGAUGUCCGUCCCCCUGUGGAUGCAAGGACCCACCAGAGACCAGGACCUGCACCCAGCUGUGUGUCCAUGAAGAGUAACUGGUCUAUGGAUGCUCCUGUAGUCUUCAACGAUGU